AGAUGCAGAGGAGUGUUCCAAGUGGGUCCAAGGGAGCUGGAAGGAAGGGGCAUGCCCCAAGAAGGCGUGGAGCCUUGCGGGGAGCAGGUCGCUCGCAUCCAGGAGGAGCUGGGCGAGGUGUGUGGCAGACCUCGGCGUGGGGAGCCGUAGCCCGGCAGUCGGGACGGGAGAGCGGAGCAGGCAUUGCAGGAAGUUUUGGAGAGGAGAAGGUGAGCGGUAACGAGGAGCCUGAGCAGGUACGGUCCGGGCCUUUCCCAGGCGUGGCUGAGGAUUUGAGGUGAAGUAGAAUGGAUGCCACGGGCAGCGUCACAGGCACAAUGCUGGAGCGUGGCUUUGGCACAGUGCAGGUGAUAAAGGCAACUGUGGUGACUGAAGGGAGAUCAGCGCGGAUGCGGCUGCCAUUGAGGAUGGCUCUUGAGGAGCGAUGGUGAUGCCCAGCAUUUGAACAAUGCUGAGCAGUGUUCUGAGUGGGCCCAAGGGAGCUGGAG